CCUGAGAGUGCAGUAAUCCCACACGCUCGCUGGCAUCGACCAGCUCCUGUUCAGCCACUUUGCGGCCUCUCUCCGUCUGCUCCAGUGCGACUCUCAGUUCCUCGAUCUCGGCCACCAUCAGGUUGUUCCUGCGCUCCACCAUGGCAACCUGCUCCUUCAUUUCUUCCUGACUUCUAAUGGCUUCAUCAAGAUGAAGC